AUGUUUGAUAAUCUUGUGAUGUAUAUUCGAAAUCUUGUGAUGUAUGUUCGAUAUCUUGUGAUGUAUAUUCGAAAUCUUGUGAUGUAUAUUCUAUAAUCUUGUGAUGUAUGUUCGAAAUCUUGUGAUGUAUAUUCGAAAUCUUGUGAUGUAUGUUUGAUAAUCUUGUGAUGUAUAUUCGAAAUCUUGUGAUGUAUGUUCAAAAUCUUGUGAUGUAUAUUCAAUAUCUUGUGAUGUAUAUUCGAAAUCUUGUGAUGUAUAUUCUAUAAUCUUGUGAUGUAUGUUCGAAAUCUUGUGAUGUAUAUUCGAAAUCUUGUGAUGUAUGUUUGAUAAUCUUGUGAUGUAUAUUCGAAAUCUUGUGAUGUAUAUUCGAAAUCUUGUGAUGUUUGUUUGAUAAUCUUGUGAUGUGUGUUCUACAAUUCAGUGAUGCGUGCAAUAAAAUUGCAUGACGCAACAGAAAAGUAAGGACAAUUUUCAUUGGUUAGAAAUAACGAAAGUAGCCGGAGCGGUCGUAAUGCACACAUUGACACAACUUCGCAAGCAUGAAAUUGACGAAUUCAACCUAAAGUCAAAAUUAUAGGAACUUUACGUAGGUCUACAGUUUUAAUUUUGGACUCAUGCACUAGGAAUAUCAUAUCAGCAGAAUUGUGCCACUGAAUCAAAGGGAACUCUUUUUUUUUAGGUACGCAUGAUCAAUGUAACUUCCUCGAUGGUGUGUUGGCUGUUUGCCCAUGUGUAUUUCGGGGUAUAGGAGUAGCCUCCCCUUUUAAAGAUCAAAAAUGGUGAUUUUACAGUGCGGCAUGCAGUCUGGUCUUCAAUGAAGAGUUUUGACACCUGUAAUACCCAUAUUUCUACCAUUCACCUCUGUAACCUUUGUUGAGUUCAUCAGACUGUCACUAGGCAACACUAAAGAUUUCCACUUAUUGCUUUUCUGUCCAAGACAGGAAGUUGAGGAACAAAGUUGACAGGACAUCCUGAACUGUCUUCGCUACCAGCUUAUGAGGGAACCAGCUGCAGUGGACAAAGUAUGUUACAUCAUAGGAUAAUAGCAUUGAAUUGGAUUCUUGAACCAGAGCCAUGUGAACCUGGUCCACCUGUACCUCUCAUUGAAGACCUGUUAACAUCACCAGAGUAUGUUCAUUCUGAUACCCCUAUGGUAUGGUUACAGCAUGCAUUAUCCCUGAAUCCAUUAAAAGAGCUGCAUUGGCAAUGAAACAACCCAAUGUGGUCGAUUGUAAGGAAAUAUAGCAUAUCAGCUUCCAACUUUGGUGCAGUUCUCAGUUCUAAGCAAAGGCGAUUGACAUUGUCACUGAAGAAACAGCUGAUGUCGGCUUACAAUCUGGAGUCCAUCAAGGCUGUUGCAUGGGGUAUCACUCAUGAAGAUGAUGCUUUGAGAAAGUAUGAAAAGGACUUUGAUGCAGCUGUAGAGCAGUCAGGAUAUGGUUGCAUGAAUCCGGAGUGUUGGGAGCUUCACCUGAUGGCUUAGUUGUUCGACCACCAACAUGCAGUGUAUUUUAUCAAACUCCAGAAGCCAAAGACGCCAUUCCUGAUAUUGUACAGGUGAAGUGUCCAUAUACAGCAUCGUCUUCAACAGUAGCAGAUGGGGCACAAAAUUUGAAGGAUUUUUCAUAGAUCUUAAACAAGAUACCCUGUGCCUGAAAACCAGUCACCCAUACUAUCAUCAAAUUCAAGGCCAGCUACACAUAUGUAACAAAACAUUCUGCGACUUAAUUGUGUGGACAAGAGUAGACUGCAUUGUGAUUAGAAUAGUAAAAGACAUUGAAUGGACAGCAAAUGUUCCAAAGCUGAUAGAUUUCUACAUUAACAUUUUCAUUCCAGCACUGAUGGAAAACUGAGUUCUGGUUUGAACUUCUUGACACUUAGUUUUGUACCUCUAGAAUUUUCUAACAAUGGAAAAUGGGUAAUCGUGUUAAAUUUGUUGAAUGUUCCCAAGUCUCAUAAAUGUAUGAUAUGAUAUGUCACAAUCCAAUGAAUCCAUCAUAAAACUUCUGGCUUAUAAGACUAUUUUAAAUAGCAAUGAUGAUUAAUAAAAUCUAUGUACUACAUAAAAAAAGAAUAUCAAAAUUUAGAAUCAUUUUAUUAAUGAAUUGAAGAUGUUAUUCUCAAAGUGAAAAUGUAACAUUUUUGUCUUUCUUAAUAGAUAAAUUGUUGAAAACAUGAA